rnacentral:rRNA from 1 species
UACGAAGGGGGCUAGCGUUGCUCGGAAUUACUGGGCGUAAAGCGCACGUAGGCGGCUUUCUAAGUCGGAGGUGAAAUCCUGGAGCUCAACUCCAGAACUGCCUUCGAUACUGGAGAGCUUGAGUCCGGGAGAGGUGAGUGGAAUUCCGAGUGUAGAGGUGAAAUUCGUAGAUAUUCGGAAGAACACCAGUGGCGAAGGCGGCUCACUGGCCCGUUACCGACGCUCAGGCGCGACAGCGUGGGGAGCAAACAGG